rnacentral:rRNA from 1 species
GCAAGUCGAGCGCUCUCUUCGGAGGGAGCGGCAGACGGGUGAGUAACGCGUGGGAAUCUACCCAUCCCUACGGAAUAGCUCCGGGAAACUGGAAUUAAUACCGUAUACGCCCUUUGGGGGAAAGAUUUAUCGGGGAUGGAUGAGCCCGCGUUGGAUUAGCUAGUUGGUGGGGUAAUGGCCUACCAAGGCGACGAUCCAUAGCUGGUCUGAGAGGAUGAUC